CGUAGGGUGCAGGCGUUAAUCGGAAUUACUGGGCGUAAAGCGUGCGCAGGCGGCUCCUUAAGUCAGAUGUGAAAUCCCCGGGCUUAACCUGGGAACUGCGUUUGAAACUGAGGAGCUCGAGUGUGGAAGAGGGGGGUGGAAUUCCAGGUGUAGCAGUGAAAUGCGUAGAGAUCUGGAGGAACGCCGAUGGCGAAGGCAGCCCCCUGGGCUAACACUGACGCUCAUGCACGAAAGCGUGGGGAGCAAACAGGAUUAGAUACCCUGGUAGUCCACGCCCUAAACGAUGUCAACUGGUUGUCGGGGAAGCAAUUCCUUGGUAACGAAGCUAACGCGUGAAGUUGACCGCCUGGGGAGUACGGCCGCAAGGUUA
rnacentral:rRNA from 1 species